CUCCAUGUGUAGCGGUGGAAUGCGUAGAUAUAUGGAAGAACACCAGUGGCGAAGGCGGCUGUCUGGUCUGCAACUGACGCUGAGGCUCGAAAGCAUGGGUAGCGAACAGGAUUAGAUACCCUGGUAGUCCAUGCCGUAAACGAUGAGUGCUAGGUGUUGGAGGAUUUCCGUCCUUCAGUGCCGAAGCUAACGCAUUAAGCACUCCGCCUGGGGAGUACGACCGCAAGGUUGAAACUCAAAGGAAUUGACGGGGGCCCGCACAAGCGGUGGAGCAUGUGGUUUAAUUCGAAGCUACGCGAAGAACCUUACCAGGUCUUGACAUCUUACGCUAACCUAAGAGAUUAGGCGUUCCCUUCGGGGACGCAAUGAC
rnacentral:rRNA from 1 species